rnacentral:rRNA from 1 species
AUCCUGUCUGAAUAUGGGGGGACCAUCCUCCAAGGCUAAAUACUCCUGACUGACCGAUAGUGAACCAGUACCGUGAGGGAAAGGCGAAAAGAACCCCGGCGAGGGGAGUGAAAUAGAACCUGAAACCGUGUACGUACAAGCAGUGGGAGCACCCGAAAGGGUGUGACUGCGUACCUUUUGUAUAAUGGGUCAGCGACUUAUAUUCUGUAGCAAGGUUAACCGCAUAGGGGAGCCGUAGGGAAAGCGAGUCUUAACUGGGCGUUAAGUUGCAGGGUAUAGACCCGAAACCCGGUGAUCUAGCCAUGGGCAGGUUGAAGGUUGGGUAACACUAACUGGAGGACCGAACCGACUAAUGUUGAAAAAUUAGCGGAUGACUUGUGGCUGGGGGUGAAAGGCCAAUCAAACCGGGAGAUAGCUGGUUCUCCCCGAAAGCUAUUUAGGUAGCGCCUCGUGAAUUCAUCUUCGGGGGUAGAGCACUGUUUCGGCUAGGGGGUCAUCCCGACUUACCAACCCGAUGCAAACUACGAAUACCGAAGAAUGUUAUCACGGGAGACACACGGCGGGUGCUAACGUCCGUCGUGAAGAGGGAAACAACCCAGACCGCCAGCUAAGGUCCCGAAGUCAUGGUUAAGUGGGAAACGAAGUGGGAAGGCUUAGACAGCCAGGAUGUUGGCUUAGAAGCAGCCAUCAUUUAAAGAAAGCGUAAUAGCUCACUGGUCGAGUCGGCCUGCGCGGAAGAUGUAACGGGGCUAAACCAUGCACCGAAGCUGCGGCAGCGACAUUUAGAUGUUGUUGGGUAGGGGAGCGUUCUGUAAGCCGUAGAAGGUGGACUGAGAGGUCUGUUGGAGGUAUCAGAAGUGCGAAUGCUGACAUAAGUAACGAUAAAGCGGGUGAAAAACCCGCUCGCCGAAAGACCAAGGUUUCCUGUCCAACGUUAAUCGGGGCAGGGUAAGUCGACCCCUAAGGCGAGGCUGAAAAGCGUAGUCGAUGGGAAACGGGUUAAUAUUCCCGUACUAAGGGUUACUGCGAAGGGGGGACGGAGAAGGCUAGGCUAUCCGGGCGACGGUUGUCCCGGUUUAAGCGAGUAGGUGGGUAGUGCAGGCAAAUCCGCACUGCUACAACACUGAGACGUGAUGACGAGCCACCGAGGUGGUGAAGUAGUUGAUGCCCAGCUUCCAGGAAAAGCCUCUAAGCGAUAGGUAAUCAUUAAUCGUACCCCAAACCGACACAGGUGGUUAGGUAGAGAAUACUCAGGCGCUUGAGAGAACUCGGGUGAAGGAACUAGGCAAAAUGGUGCCGUAACUUCGGGAGAAGGCACGCUGGCAUUAGGUGAAGGGUCUUGCAUCCGGAGCUGAAGCCAGUCGAAGAUACUAGCUGGCUGCAACUGUUUAUUAAAAACACAGCACUGUGCAAACACGAAAGUGGACGUAUACGGUGUGACGCCUGCCCGGUGCUGGAAGGUUAAUUGAUGGGGUAAGCCGUAAGGCGAAGCUCUUGAUCGAAGCCCCAGUAAACGGCGGCCGUAACUAUAACGGUCCUAAGGUAGCGAAAUUCCUUGUCGGGUAAGUUCCGACCUGCACGAAUGG